CAAUAGCGUAUAUUAAAGUUGUUGCGGUAAAAAGCUCGUAGUUGGAUUUCUGUUGAGGACGACCGGUCCAUACCACGUAUGCGCAUCUGGCUCGGCCUCGGCAUCCUCUCGCAAGACGUUUCUGCGCUUGAUUGCGUGGGGCGGAUUACGGGACUUUUACUUUGAAAAAUUAGAGUGUUCAAAGCAGGCGAUCGCUUGAAUACAUUAGCAUGGAAUAAUAGAAUAGGACUUUGGUUCUAUUUUGUUGGUUCUAGGACCGAAGUAAUGAUUAAUAGGGACAGUUGGGGGUGCAUUAGUAUUUAAUUGUCAGAGGUGAAAUUCUUGGAUUUAUGAAAGACUAACUACUGCGAAAGCAUUUGCCAAGGAUGUUUUCAUUAAUCAAGAACGAAAGUUAGGGGAUCGAAGACGAUUAGAU
rnacentral:rRNA from 1 species